GACGAACGCUGGCGGCGUGCCUAAUACAUGCAAGUCGAGCGGGUUUGUUCCUUCGGGGACAAGCUAGCGGCGGACGGGUGAGUAACACGUAGGUAACCUGCCUUCAAGAUCGGGAUAACUUUCGGAAACGAACGCUAAGACCGGAUAGCUGGUCUUCUCGCAUGAGAGAAUCAUGAAACACGGAGCAAUCCGUGGCUCGAAGAUGGGCCUGCGGCGCAUUAGCUAGUUGGUAGGGUAACGGCCUACCAAGGCGACGAUGCGUAGCCGACCUGAGAGGGUGAACGGCCACACUGGGACUGAGACACGGCCCAGACUCCUACGGGAGGCAGCAGUAGGGAAUCUUCCGCAAUGGACGCAAGUCUGACGGGGCAACGCCGCGUGAGUGAUGAAGGUUUUCGGAUCGUAAAGCUCUGUUGCCCUAGACGAACAGCAGGGAGAGUAACUGCUCUCUGUGUGACGGUAUAGGAGAGGAAAGCCCCGGCUAACUACGUGCCAGCCGCCGCAGUAA
rnacentral:rRNA from 1 species